rnacentral:rRNA from 1 species
GAUGAACGCUGGCGGCGUGCCUAACACAUGCAAGUCGAGCGAUCAUCCUCGGAAGAGAGCGGCGGACGGGUGAGUAACGCGUGGGUAACCUGCCCUGUACACACGGAUAACAUACCGAAAGGUAUGCUAAUACGAGAUAAUAUGCUUUUGUCGCAUGGUAGAAGUAUCAAAGCUCCGGCGGUACAGGAUGGACCCGCGUCUGAUUAGCUAGUUGGUAAGGUAACGGCUUACCAAGGCGACGAUCAGUAGCCGACCUGAGAGGGUGAUCGGCCACAUUGGAACUGAGACACGGUCCAAACUCCUACGGGAGGCAGCAGUGGGGAAUAUUGCACAAUGGGCGAAAGCCUGAUGCAGCAACGCCGCGUGAGCGAUGAAGGCC